rnacentral:rRNA from 1 species
GUUGAACGCUGGCGGUAGGCCUAACACAUGCAAGUCGAGCGGAGAGGCCGACGGGUGGAUGAUGCCUAGGAAUCUGCCUGGUAGUGGGGGAUAAGGUCCGGAAACGGGCGCUAAUACCGCAUACUAUCAGAUGAGCCUAGGUUGGGUUAGCUAGUUGGUGGGGUAAAGGCCUACCAAGGCGACAAUCCGUAACUGGUCUGAGAGGGUGAUCAGUCACACAGGAACUGAGACACGGUCCAGACUCCUACGGAAGGCAGCAGUGGGGAAUGUUGGACAAUGGGCGAAAGCCUGAUCCAGCCAGGCCGCGUGUGUGAAGAAGGUCUUCGGAUUGUAAAGCACUUUAAGUUGGGAGGCGGUACCAACAGAAUAAGCACCGGCUAACUUCGUGCCAGCAGCCGCGGUAAUAC